UGCAGUCGAGCGGACAGAUGGGAGCUUGCUCCCUGAUGUUAGCGGCGGACGGGUGAGUAACACGUGGGUAACCUGCCUGUAAGACUGGGAUAACUCCGGGAAACCGGGGCUAAUACCGGAUGGUUGUUUGAACCGCAUGGUUCAAACAUAAAAGGUGGCUUCGGCUACCACUUACAGAUGGACCCGCGGCGCAAUAGCUAGUUGGUGAGGUAACGGCUCACCAAGGCAACGAUGCGUAGCCCACCUGAGAGGGUGAUCGGCCACACUGGGACUGAGACACGGCCCAGACUCCUACGGGAGGCAGCAGUAGGGAAUCUUCCGCAAUGGACGAAAGUCUGACGGAGCAACGCCGCGUGAGUGAUGAAGGUUUUCGGAUCGUAAAGCUCUGUUGUUAGGGAAGAACAAGUACCGUUCGAAUAGGGCGGUACCUUGACGGUACCUAACCAGAAAGCCACGGCUAACUACGUGCCAGCAGCCGCGGUAAUACGUAGGUGGCAAGCGUUGUCCGGAAUUAUUGGGCGUAAAGGGCUCGCAGGCGGUUUCUUAAGUCUGAUGUGAAAGCCCCCGGCUCAACCGGGGAGGGUCAUUGGAAACUGGGGAACUUGAGUGCAGAAGAAGAGAGUGGAAUUCCACGUGUAGCGGUGAAAUGCGUAGAGAUGUGGAGGAACACCAGUGGCGAAGGCGACUCUCUGGUCUGUAACUGACGCUGAGGAGCGAAAGCGUGGGGAGCGAACAGGAUUAGAUACCCUGGUAGUCCACGCCGUAAACGAUGAGUGCUAAGUGUUUAGGGGGUUUCCGCCCCUUAGUGCUGCAGCUAACGCAUUAAGCACUCCGCCCGGGGGAGUACGGUCGCAAGACUGAAACUCAAAGGAAUUGACGGGGGCCCGCACAAGCGGUGGAACAUGUGGUUUAAUUCGAAGCAACGCGGAGAACCUUACCAGGUCUUGACAUCCUCUGACAAUCCUAGAGAUAGGACGUCCCCUUCGGGGGCAGAGUGACAGGUGGUGCAUGGUUGUCGUCAGCUCGUGUCGUGAGAUGUUGGGUUAGUCCCGCAACGAGCGCAACCCUUGAUCUUAGUUGCCAGCAUUCAGUUGGGCACUCUUAGGUGACUGCCGGUGACAACCGGAAGAAAGGUGGGGAUGACGUCCAAUCAUCAUGCCCCUUAUAACUGGGGCUACCACCUGCU
rnacentral:rRNA from 1 species